ACCUCCUUGAUUCAGAUGAUGAAGAAAACAGCAAUGGAAGAUGAGCACAAUAAACAAAAACAUCAAGACUUUCAGUUUCCUGAAGGUUCUGUGGGAGAUAUCAUUCCUGGUGCGACAUCCACGAAGGCAGAUGAUAACGAUAAGCAUGCCAUUCUUUAAGUGAUGAUCUAACUUUAAGAUCCUCUGCAUGUCUUUGAAGUUCUACAUUUUCAUAGAAUGUAUCUUUCUCUUCUGGAUCUUCUUAUUCACAACAUGUUUCUUAUCAUCUGCAUAAAGUCUGUUGUGAUAUUAAUCUCAAUUAUUUUAGGGGCUGGGGAUUUAGCUCAGCGGCAAAGCGCCUGCCUGC